rnacentral:rRNA from 1 species
GGAAAAGAAACCAACAGGGAUUGCCCCAGUAACGGCGAGUGAAGCGGCAACAGCUCAAAUUUGAAAUCUGGCCCCCAGGGCCCGAGUUGUAAUUUGCAGAGGAUGCUUUUGGCGCGGUGCCUUCCGAGUUCCCUGGAACGGGACGCCAUAGAGGGUGAGAGCCCCGUCUGGUCGGACGCCUAGCCUGUGUAAAGCUCCUUCGACGAGUCGAGUAGUUUGGGAAUGCUGCUCUAAAUGGGAGGUAUAUGUCUUCUAAAGCUAAAUACCGGCCAGAGACCGAUAGCGCACAAGUAGAGUGAUCGAAAGAUGAAAAGCACUUUGAAAAGAGGGUUAAAUAGUACGUGAAAUUGUUGAAAGGGAAGCGCUUGUGACCAGACUUGGGCCCGGUGGAUCAUCCAGCGUUCUCGCUGGUGCACUCCGCCGGGUUCAGGCCAGCAUCAGUUCGCCGCGGGGGAAAAAGGCUUCGGGAACGUGGCUCCUACGGGAGUGUUAUAGCCCGUUGCAUAAUACCCUGGGGCGGACUGAGGUUCGCGCUCCGCAAGGAUGCUGGCGUAAUGGUCAUCAGCGACCCG